rnacentral:RNase_P_RNA from 2 species
GGUAAGGGUGAAAGGGUGCGGUAAGAGCGCACCGCGCGGCUGGUAACAGUCCGUGGCACGGUAAACUCCACCCGGAGCAAGGCCAAAUAGGGGUUCAUAAGGUACGGCCCGUACUGAACCCGGGUAGGCUGCUUGAGCCAGUGAGCGAUUGCUGGCCUAGAUGAAUGACUGUCCACGACAGAACCCGGCUUAUCGGUCAGUUUCACCU